rnacentral:rRNA from 1 species
GAUGAACGCUGGCGGCGUGCCUAAUACAUGCAAGUCGAGCGAACAGACGAGGAGCUUGCUCCUCUGACGUUAGCGGCGGACGGGUGAGUAACACGUGGAUAACCUACCUAUAAGACUGGGAUAACUUCGGGAAACCGGAGCUAAUACCGGAUAAUAUAUUGAACCGCAUGGUUCAAUAGUGAAAGACGGUUUUGCUGUCACUUAUAGAUGGAUCCGCGCCGCAUUAGCUAGUUGGUAAGGUAACGGCUUACCAAGGCAACGAUGCGUAGCCGACCUGAGAGGAUGAUCGGCCACACUGGACCUGAGACACGGUCCAGACUCCUACGGGAGGCAGCAGUAGGGAAUCUUCCGCAAUGGGCGAAAGCCUGACGGAGCAACGCCGCGUGAGUGAUGAAGGUCUUCGGAUCGUAAAACUCUGUUAUUAGGGAAGAACAAAUGUGUAAGUAACUAUGCACGUCUUGACGGUACCUAAUCAGAAAGCCACGGCUAACUACGUG